ensembl:snRNA U4 U4 spliceosomal RNA
AGCUUUGCACAGUGGCGGUAUCGUAACCAAUGAGGUUUAUCCGAGGCACAAUUAUUGCUAAUUGAAAAACAUAUGCCACAGGGGCC